UACCAAAUAUCUUAACAAUAAAACUAUUAAAAUUAAAUCAAAAUACAUAAUAAACUUAACAAUCGAUCCUAAGCUUAGUGACUCUGGGAUUGUUAAGAAUCGUUUAUGUGUCGGUUUAUGAUUAAUUGGACUAAUUAACCAAAAAAAAAACAGUUAUUUUUUUCCCCUCUUUCUUCUUCGUUUCUCCGUUUCUCAAAAACGUGAAAUCUAUGCUGAAGAUUCGAUCCGUCGAAUUGAGAGACAAUAUGAGUCGGAAAUGAGUUUUGGAUCUGUCGCUAUCAUCAUUCCAGCGACGCCGGUGACCAUCGACGUUUUCUGGUUCCCCAAAUCGGGAAGUUAACCAAUUCUCUGUGUUUGGUUCAAGGAUGCUCUAAUUUUGUUCCCAUGGUGUUGUCUUCCUUUUGGCCCAAGCUGGUUCGUACUUGACGAAAGUGAAAGUUCAGAUGCUGAACGUAACUGGUAUGUCUCUUGCUGUUCUUGGUCACUACGGAGCCGCAGUUACUGAUCUUGUGCUUCAAGGCCUUCAAGGCCUU